rnacentral:rRNA from 1 species
UACGGAGGAUGCGAGCGUUAUCCGGAUUUAUUGGGUUUAAAGGGUGCGUAGGCGGCCAUUUAAGUCAGCGGUGAAAUCUUGCAGCUUAACUGUAACAGUGCCGUUGAUACUGUUUGGCUAGGAUUUGGUUGUAGUGUGCGGAAUGUGUGGUGUAGCGGUGAAAUGCUUAGAUAUCACACAGAACACCGAUUGCGAAGGCAGCACACUAAGUCAUUAUUGACGCUGAGGCACGAAAGUGUGGGGAUCAAACAGGA